rnacentral:rRNA from 1 species
AGAGUUUGAUCCUGGCUCAGAUUGAACGCUGGCGGCAUGGCUAAAGCAUGCAAGUCGAACGAUACAGUGGCGCAAGGGCGAGUAAUGCGAUCGAAUGUACCCCGAGGUGGGGGAUAGCGUCGAGAAAUCGUCGGUAAUACCCCAUGUGCUCUACGGAGCAAAGAUUUACCGCCUUGGGAGCGGCGAUACUCCUAUCAGGUAGUUGGUGGGGUAAAGGCCUACCAAGCCAAUGACGGGUAGCGGGUGUGAGAGCAUGACCCGCCGCAUCGGGACUGAGACACUGCCCGGACUCCUACGGGAGGCUGCAGCGACGAAUCUUCCGCAAUGCGCGAAAGCGUGACGGAGCAAUGCCGCGUGUGGGAUGAAGCAUUUCUGAUGUGUAAACCACUGUCAGGGUUUAGGAAUUUUGACCAGACCCAAAGGAAGGGGCCGGCUAACUUCGUGCCAGCAGCCGCGGUAAUACGAAGGGCCCGAGCGUUGAUCGGAAUCACUGGGCUUAAAGGGUGCGCAGGCGGGCUCGUUAGUGUCUUGUGAAAUCCCACGGCUCAACCGUGGAACUGCAGGGCAAACUGCUGGUCUUGAGGUAGGCAGGGGCUGACGGAACGAUAGGUGGAGCGGUGGAAUGCAUAGAUAUCUAUCGGAACGCCAAGAGCGAAGGCAGUCAGCUGGGCCUUACCUGACGCUCAGGUACGAAAGCGUGGGUAGCGAACAGGAUUAGAUACCCUGGUAGUCCACGCCCUAAACGAUGUGCACUAGAUCGAGGCGUCUCUGACGGCGUGUCGGCCGAAGCGAAAGUGUUAAGUGCACCGCCUGGGGAGUACGGUCGCAAGGCUAAAACUCAAAGGAAUUGACGGGGGCUCACACAAGCGGUGGAGCAUGUGGCUUAAUUCGAAGCAACGCGAAGAACCUUAUCCUGGAUUUGACAUGUACGGAUUAGUCUAUCGAAAGGCGAGCCACGACCUCGGGUGGAACGUGCACAGGUGCUGCAUGGCUGUCGUCAGCUCGUGCUGUGAAGUGUCGGGUUAAGUCCCUUAACGAGCGCAACCCCUAUCGUUAGUUGCUAACAGGUUAUGCUGAGUACUCUAGCGAGACUGCCGGUGUCAAACCGGAGGAAGGUGGGGAUGACGUCAAGUCCUCAUGGCCCUUAUGUCCUGGGAUGCAAACGUGCUACAAUGGCGUGUACAGAGCGACGCAAUACCGCGAGGUGGAGCAAAUCGCAAAAAGCACGCCCCAGUUCGGAUUGCAGGCUGCAACUCGCCUGCAUGAAGUUGGAAUCGCUAGUAAUCGUGGAUCAGCUACGCCACGGUGAAUACGUUCCUGAGCCUUGUACACACCGCCCGUCACGUCAUGGAAGCCGGGAGCGCCCGAAGUCGCCCCAUCUCAGGGGUGCCUACGGCGAGAUCGGUGACUGGGACGAAGUCGUAACAAGGUAACCGUA